AGCGAACGCUGGCGGCAGGCCUAACACAUGCAAGCCGAACGAAGUCUUCGGACUUAGUGGCGGACGGGUGAGUAACACGUGGGAACGUGCCUUUAGGUUCGGAAUAACUCAGGGAAACUUGUGCUAAUACCGAAUGUGCCCUUCGGGGGAAAGAUUUAUCGCCUUUAGAGCGGCCCGCGUCUGAUUAGCUAGUUGGUGAGGUAAAGGCUCACCAAGGCUACGAUCAGUAGCUGGUCUGAGAGGAUGACCAGCCACAUUGGGACUGAGACACGGCCCAAACUCCUACGGGAGGCAGCAGUGGGGAAUCUUGCGCAAUGGGCGAAAGCCUGACGCAGCCAUACCGCGUGGAUGAUGAAGGUCUUAGGAUUGUAAAAUCCUUUCACCGGUGAAGAUAAUGACUGUAGCCGGAGAAGAAGCCCCGGCUAACUUCGUGCCAGCCGCCGCGGUAACAC
rnacentral:rRNA from 1 species